AGAUCUGUGACAAGGUCAGAGAUGUCGGCUGAGACCGAAAAUGCUCAGGUGGAUCUGAUUCUUUAGCGUGAAGUAUCUGAGGACCACGUAGUGUCUGGUUGGAAAAAAAAACACAGGCAUUAUAGACAGCAGAACAGCACCUGGUCUUCCAUGGAAAGCAAAAGCAAAAUUAAAAAUGUCUCCUUGGAUCAGCCUGGAACUAAAACUGGAGGAGAACAGAUAAUAUCUUCACUAAGAAGACAAACAUGUUGACAAAUACAUGAACACAGAAGAAUUGCAUUAUUUUAAUGCUGACAGUAAAGACAGUGUAGUUGUUAAAAAUUAGGUAUACCU
rnacentral:lncRNA from 1 species